UACGGGGGGGGCGAGCGUUGUCCGAAGUUACUGGGCGUAAAGCGCGUGUAGGCGGGUUGUUAAGUCCGCUGUGAAAGCCCGGUGCUCAACGCCGGAGGGUCGGUGGAUACUGGCAGUCUUGAAGUGGCUAGGGGGAAAUGGAAUUACCGGUGUAGCGGUGAAAUGCGUAGAUAUCGGUAGGAACACCAGUGGCGAAGGCGGUUUCCUGGAGCUAACUUGACGCUGAGACGCGAAAGCGUGGGGAGCAAACAGG
rnacentral:rRNA from 1 species